AUGAUAGAGAACCUACUUCCAGCAAUACAAGCAUCUUGGCCUGAGAAUGAUGUUGGGCAAACCAUCUAUAUACAGCAAGACAACGCUAAGCCUCAUAUCUUGCCUAACGACCUAGAAUUUGUAGCAGCUGUGGAAAGAACUGGAGUCGAUAUCAGACUAAUUCAACAACCUGCCAAUAGCCCAGAUCUGAAUGGCCUUGACCUUGGGUUCUUCAACUCGUUGCAAUCUCUAACAGAUUGUCUAAGCCCUAGAACGCUUCAGGAUCUUAUCAAGGGUGUGCUAGAUGAAUUUGAAAACUAUGAGGUUUACAAGUUGAACAGAGCUUUCCUAUCUCUACAAGCUUGCAUGAUUGAAAUCUUGAACCAUGCGGGGGCCAAUGGGUAUAAAAUACCCCAUGCGAACAAGGAAAGGCUAGAGAACCUUGGGAUGCUACCUCCAAGACUUACAUGCCCUCGAGAGGUAUAUGCAAAUGCCCUGCACAAUCUUGGGAUAAUGGAGAGAGUUGCUUGUUGA
rnacentral:rRNA from 1 species